AUCCUAUAUAUAGGCGCAGAAUAAAGACAUACAGAAGUGUAACUUCCAUUACAAAACCGUAAUGCGCUUUUUUACCGAAAUAGCUGGCGGCCAUGUUCUUAGCAAGUGAGAGGCAUUCACCCCCCUGGGAUAUUAAAUUUUCAAUAUGUUUUCAGGGGGUGACUGCCUCUCUUUAGGGCACUUGCUAAGAGCAUGGCGGACUGAAAAAAAAAACCCUUACGCAAAAUUAACCUGAAGUGAGAUCUCUGUAUGUACUUCUUCUGUGAUAUAGACCUGAUCGCAGAUUAUGGCGAUCACGACUUUUGAUUGAUGAUAUUUAUAAAUUUUCAUUUACUUCGGGACACUUCGCGCCAAAUUGUAAUUUACCGUGCGACAUGGCAUGCUGCUUCACAGCCAUUAAAUAUACUAAAAUUUCGGAAAAUAUUUAAUACAUACGAGCCGGGUCGUUGUAGGAUUGCUAUAGGGUCGUUGUAGAUGGUUGUAGCGUCGUUAUAGGUAGUUGUAGCGUCGUUGUAGAUCGUUGUAGCGUCGUUGUAGGUGGUUGUAGAUCGUUGUAGCAUCGUUGUAGGUGGUUGUAGCGUCGUUGUAGCGUCGUUGUAGGUGGUUGUAGGUGGUUGUAGGUGGUUGUAGGUGGUUGUAGGUGGUUGUAGAUCGUUGUAGCAUCGUUGUAGGUGGUUGUAGG
rnacentral:lncRNA from 1 species